AUGUAUGAGCACGUUGCCGGCGAAGAAAUCCACUUCCGCCACCGAGCCGGGGUUCCUCCGCCGGGCAGCAUCGGAGAGGCUGGGCUAUGGGAGCGAAGGGAAGCCCGUGGCCACGACAGUGGGCUUGGGCCUCCAAUUUCGUCGACAGGCCGAGAAGCGAAACCGCGAAAAAUCCGUUUCCUUUCUCUUCGCCCUCUCUUUCUUUGGUCGCGGCCAGGAGCCCAGGACCGAAACACGAAGCCGCCCGCCAUUUUCCUAGCCGCCAAACUGGCUAGGCAGUCCUCCCGCGCCUGCUUCAACCGAGCAGCGCCGCGCCUCGCCGCCGCCACCUGCCCCUCCCGUCGCCUCUCCGCCACCGCGCAACCAUGCCCUGUCGACCCAUCUCUGCCUCACCCCUUCAGCCUCCUCGCCGACCACCCGCACCCCGCGGUAGCCCAGUUCCCGAGCACUGGCUUCUCUCACCUCGCCGACACCCCGCGCCUCGCACGCGCCAUCCACGCGACCGUCCUCCGCCGCGCGCUACCGCUCAGCGCCUUCCACAGCAACACCCUACUCGCCUUCUACUUUCAUCACCGCUCACCAGAUGCCGCGCUCCACCUGUUCGACGCAAUGCCGGACCGCACUCCGUCCUCCUGGUACACCGCCAUCUCCGGCUGCGUCCGCUGUGGCCACGAAUCCACUGCGUUCGACCUGUUGCGUCGCAUGCGUGAACGUGCAGUUCCGCUCAGUGGCUUCGCUCUCGCCAGUCUCGUCACCGCGUGCGAGCGCCGGGACAAGGAGGAGGGCCGCACGUGUGGAGCCGCCAUACACGCGCUGACCCACAAAGCCGGACUCAUGGUGAACGUGUACAUCGGGACAGCGCUCCUUCACCUGUACGGCUCCCGGAAGCAUGUGUUGGACGCACAGAAGUUGUUCCAGGAGAUGCCUGAGCGGAAUGUCGUGUCGUGGACGGCACUGAUGGUGGCAUUGUCAUCAAAUGGGUACUUGGAAGAGGCAUUGAGAGCUUAUUGCCGGAUGAGAAUGGAAGGUGUUGCGUGCAAUGCAAAUGCGUUUGCGACGGUGGUCAGCCUGUGUGGGUCACUCGAGAGUGAGAUGGCUGGGCUUCAGGUAUUUUCCCAGGUCUUAGUUUCUGGCCUACAAAGGCAGGUCUCCGUUGUAAAUUCACUGAUUACAAUGCUUGGUAACAUUGGGAGGGUGCAAGAUGCCGAGAAGCUCUUUUAUCGAAUGGAGGAACGUGACACUAUAUCAUGGAACGCUAUGGUAUCAAUGUACUCACAUGAAGGACACUGCAGUAAAUGCUUUAUGGUAUUUUCGGAUAUGCGUCGUGGUGGAUUGUUAAGGCAUGACGCAACUACUAUGUGCAGCCUGAUAUGCGCCUGUGCGUCGCCAGCUUAUGUCAACAUUGGAAGUGGAAUUCAUUCCCUGUGUCUCAGGGGUGGUCUGCACUCUUAUAUUCCCGUGAUUAAUGCGCUUGUUAAUAUGUAUUCUGCUGCUGGGAAGUUGGUUGAUGCUGAGUUUCUGUUCUGGAGCAUGGGCAGAAGGGAUCUAAUAUCAUGGAACACUAUGAUUUCAUCAUAUGUCCAAAGCGGUAAUAACAUGGAUGCAUUGAAGACACUAGGUCAGUUACUUCAGACUAAUGAAGCUCCAGAUCGCAUGACAUUUUCCAGCGCUUUAGGAGCAUGUUCAAGUCCAGGAGCUUUGAUGGAUGGCAGAAUGGUUCAUGCCAUGAUAUUGCAGUUAAGUCUUGACCGCAAUCUACUGGUUGGUAAUUCUCUCCUCACGAUGUAUGGUAAAUGCAGUUCUAUCCAAGAUGUCGAGAGAGUAUUUCAGUUGAUGUCCACUCACGAUGUUGUCAGUUGCAAUGUACUUAUUGGGAGCUAUGCACCGCUUGAGGAUUGUACCAAGGUAAUGCAGGUAUUUACUUGGAUGAGAAGUGCGGGAUUAAAGCCAAAUUACAUAACAAUAGUGAAUAUCCAGGGUUCUUUCAAAUCUUCAAAUGAUUUACACAAUUAUGGAUUGCCCCUGCACGCAUACACAAUCCGUACUGGGUUCGUAGCUGAUGACUACGUUAGUAACUCUCUGAUCACAAUGUAUGCAAACUGUGGUGACUUAGAUUCAAGCACUAAAGUCUUCCGCACAAUCAUCAAGAAAAGUGUCGUUUCCUGGAAUGCUAUGAUCGCUGCGAAUGUUCAACAUGGCCAUGGAGAGGAAGGUUUAAAGCUUUUCAUGGAUAUGCGGCAUGCUGGAAAUACUCUUGAUCAUGUUUGUCUAGCUGAAUGUUUGUCAUCCAGUGCAAGCCUGGCAUCACUAGAAGAAGGCAUGCAACUACAUGGUCUUGGUGUGAAGUGUGGGCUGGAUAAUGACAGUCAUGUGGUUAAUGCUGCAAUGGAUAUGUACGGGAAAUGUGGAAAAAUGGAUGAGAUGUUGAAAAUGCUUCCUGAUCCUGCCGUUCGACCCCAACAAUGCUGGAAUACAUUGAUAUCAGGUUAUGCAAGAUAUGGAUAUUUCAAAGAAGCUGAGGACACAUUUAAGCAUAUGGUGUCGAUGGGGCGAAAGCCAGAUCACGUAACAUUUGUCACUCUUCUCUCAGCUUGUAGUCAUGCUGGUCUAGUGGGCAAGGGUAUUGAUUACUAUAACUCUAUGUCUUCUGUAUUUGGUGUUUCCCCUGGAAUAAAGCAUUGUGUUUGCAUUGUGGAUGUCCUUGGACGUUUAGGGCGAUUUACAGAAGCAGAGAAGUUCAUUGAAGACAUGCCAGUCUUACCAAAUGAUCUAAUUUGGCGUAGCCUGUUGUCCUCUAGUAGAACUCACAAAAAUCUGGAUAUUGGGAGGAAAGCCGCCAAGAAACUCCUUGAGUUGGAUCCUUUUGAUGACUCAGCUUAUGUUCUUUUGUCGAACUUAUAUGCGACAAGUGCAAGAUGGUCCGAUGUUGACAGACUAAGAAGUCACAUGAAAAGCAUCAAUUUAAAUAAAAGACCUGCUUGCAGUUGGCUUAAGCGGAAGAAAGAAGUAAGCACCUUUGGUAUAGGUGACCGGAGUCAUAAUGACACAGAAAAGAUCUACGCGAAGCUAGAUGAAAUCUUUCUGAAGCUCAGGGAGGUAGGUUAUGUUGCUGAUACCUCAUUGGCACUGCAUGAUACAGAUGAGGAACAAAAAGAGCAGAACCUUUGGAAUCACAGCGAGAAGCUUGCAUUGGCAUAUGGCCUUAUCACUGUUCCGGAAGGAUGUACAGUAAGGAUAUUCAAGAAUCUCAGGGUCUGUGCGGAUUGCCAUUUGGUAUUUAAGCUUGUCAGCAUGGUUUUUGACAGGGAAAUUGUCCUGAGAGAUCCUUAUAGGUUCCACCAUUUCAAAGGCGGAUCAUGCUCCUGUUCAGAUUUUUGG
rnacentral:rRNA from 1 species